CCAAAACACACAUACACAUACCAUAUCUCUCUCCCCCUCUAGAAUUCUUACAUAAUUAUCAUGAUUAUAAGCAAAUUAUUAAUAGAUGUUAGUGUUAUCAUCUACAUCAUCAUCUAGCAAAGAUUUAGGUGUCUUCAAGUGAAAGAACUUCUCCUGUAGGUCUCAAAUUUGGAAUUGGUGUUUUAAAGAAGUUGUGGGCUUCCAGAUAUCAUUAGUCUUCUGCGCUACACAAGUUAACAAGAGUAGUCAAGUCAACUUCUUUUUCCAGAAUACUGAAGAUGUAAAGAAGUCUGACCCGUUUUAGUAUUUAAAGACAAUUCUAUGUAUGUCAAUUCAAAGACAAACGGCGUUUUAAAUUAUUACAUUAUGUAUCGUUUAUUUGUUGUUAAGAUUAAGAAUCCUCUUGCUUUUGUUUUGUCCUACCUCACCAAUCACCAUGUGCCGAAUAGGCGUUGGAUGUACUACACUUUUGGGGCUCGGAAUUUCAGUUCUUUCCGUGUGGCUUCUUCGUGAUAGUAGACUACUCUCAGGCAUCAUCAACAACUGGGCUCUCCAGACAAAAGAUUCAACAGUUCGGUUUUGGAGUGACGCUAUAGAGCAACCGGUAUUCUGCAUGCUUUUAACUUACGGCAGUAAUAUUGAAACUCUUGUAAUAUAGUGCUUACAAUCUCGGAAAACAUGUUUGAACUUUUUCGUUAAGUUAUUUAGGAAGUAAUCUACAUAUAAGCAAACUAAACUAUGUGACUUUAGGUUUAGGUGAUUAUUGCUUAUCUUUCAAA